AAAUUCAAAAUGAGUGAAUCUUCAGUGUCAAGAAAAAGUUCUGACUUUGUUCCUCCCAAAUAAUGCACUGCUAUUAAUUUGCAACAACAGAGAUACAUAUGAAAAGAAUAUAGUCCAUUUGUCCAAUAUUUUGCCCACGGCACUCUGGUUCAUAUGGGUGAUGACCUGAAGAAUAAUGCCCUCAUUCUCCAGAGACCAACCUAAUGCCCACCGAAUCUCGGGGGUGGAGGAAAGGAGUAAGGAUAGAGUGGUCAAGACUCUCAUCAAGAUCUUGAAUAAUAUCAUAAUAUCAAAAAAGAAGUCCGAUAGACGAUCAUCCCAGUGAAAUGAUCCUGACUUCUCAGGUAACUCUCCAAAACACUGGACUGGCAGUCUGAGAAUGGCCUACUGGAUUAUAUCCAACCUGGAGGUCAAGAUGGAGAAACAUGGAGACAACACAGUUGGAAAGCAAUGGUCCAAUUCUGCCCACCACCACUCACCCUUCUAGGCUUCCAUGAAAACAUUGUGACUUGAAAUCAUUGUGACCUUAAGUGACAGCCAGAAAACUAACCUGGAGCUGACAUUUUCUCCUGCCAUUCAAGGAUAAAAUACACACCAGUAAGUGUAAAGUA